AAACCAGCACCUCAAGUGGUCAGGAGGAUUAUUGGGCCUAAAGCAUCCGUAGCCUGCUUUGUAAGUUUUCGGUUAAAUCCAUAUGCUCAACAUAUGGGCUGCCGGGAAUACUGCAUAGCUAGGGAGUGGGAGAGGUAGACGGUACUCCAUAGGAAGGGGUAAAAUCCUUUGAUCUAUGGAAGACCACCUGUGGCGAAGGCGGUCUACCAGAACACGUCCGACGGUGAGGGAUGAAAGCUGGGGGAGCAAACCGGAUUAGAAACCCCAGUAGUCC
rnacentral:rRNA from 1 species